rnacentral:rRNA from 1 species
GGAUGAAGGCUUUCGGGUCGUAAAACUCUGUUGUUAGGGAAGAACAAGUGCUAGUUGAAUAAGCUGGCACCUUGACGGUACCUAACCAGAAAGCCACGGCUAACUACGUGCCAGCAGCCGCGGUAAUACGUAGGUGGCAAGCGUUAUCCGGAAUUAUUGGGCGUAAAGCGCGCGCAGGUGGUUUCUUAAGUCUGAUGUGAAAGCCCACGGCUCAACCGUGGAGGGUCAUUGGAAACUGGGAGACUUGAGUGCAGAAGAGGAAAGUGGAAUUCCAUGUGUAGCGGUGAAAUGCGUAGAGAUAUGGAGGAACACCAGUGGCGAAGGCGACUUUCUGGUCUGUAACUGACACUGAGGCGCGAAAGCGUGGGGAGCAAACAGGAUUAGAUACCCUGGUAGUCCACGCCGUAAACGAUGAGUGCUAAGUGUUAGAGGGUUUCCGCCCUUUANUGCUGAAGUUAACGCAUUAAGCACUCCGCCUGGGGAGUACGGCCGCAAGGCUGAAACUCAAAGGAAUUGACGGGGNG